CCUACGGGGGGCAGCAGUCGAGAAUCAUUCACAAUGGGGGAAACCCUGAUGGUGCGACGCCGCGUGGGGGAAUGAAGGUCUUCGGAUUGUAAACCCCUGUCAUGUGGGAGCAAAUUAAAAAGAUAGUACCACAAGAGGAAGAGACGGCUAACUCUGUGCCAGCAGCCGCGGUAAUACAGAGGUCUCAAGCGUUGUUAGGAAUCACUGGGCGUAAGGCGUGCGUAGGCGGUUUCGUAAGUCGGGUGUGAAAGGCGCGGGCUCAACCCGCGGACGGCACAUGAUACUGCGAGACUCGAGUAAAGGAGGGGGAACCGGAAUUCUCGGUGUAGCAGGGAAAUGCGUAGAUAUCGAGAGGAACACUCGUGGCGAAGGCGGGUUCCUGGACAGUAACUGACGCUGAGGCACGAAGGCCAGGGGAGCGAAAGGGAUUAGAUACCCGGGUAGUC
rnacentral:rRNA from 1 species